rnacentral:rRNA from 1 species
GAUGAACGCUGGCGGCGUGCCUAGUACAUGCAAGUCGAGCGAACAGACGAGGAGCUUGCUCCUCUGACGUUAGCGGCGGACGGGUGAGUAACACGUGGAUAACCUACCUAUAAGACUGGGAUAACUUCGGGAAACCGGAGCUAAUACCGGAUAAUAUAUUGAACCGCAUGGUUCAAUAGUGAAAGACGGUUUUGCUGUCACUUAUAGAUGGAUCCGCGCCGCAUUAGCUAGUUGGUAAGGUAACGGCUUACCAAGGCAACGAUGCGUAGCCGACCUGAGAGGGUGGUCGGCCACACUGGAGCUGGGACACGGUCCAGACUCCUACGAGAGGCAGCAGUAGGGUAUCUUCCGCAAUGGGCGAAAGCCUGACGGAGCAACGCCGCGUGAGUGAUGAAGGUCUUCGGAGCGUAAAGCUCUGUUAUUAGGGAAGAACAAAUGUGUAAGUAACUGUGCACGGCGUGACGGUACCUAAUCAGAAAGCCACGGCUAACUACGUG